CCUUCGAUAGCUCAGUUGGUAGAGCGGUGGACUGUAGAAAGUUCGGAGUGAGGAGCAUCAAGUUUGAAACAAAUGUGAUCUUUCUGUGCCCAGCCAAUAGAAAUCCAUAGGUCACUGGUUCAAAUCCGGUUCGAAGGA
rnacentral:tRNA from 2 species